UACGUAGGGUGCAAGCGUUAAUCGGAAUUACUGGGCGUAAAGCGUGCGCAGGCGGUUAUGCAAGACAGAUGUGAAAUCCCCGGGCUCAACCUGGGAACUGCAUUUGUGACUGCAUAGCUGGAGUACGGUAGAGGGGGAUGGAAUUCCGCGUGUAGCAGUGAAAUGCGUAGAUAUGCGGAGGAACACCGAUGGCGAAGGCAAUCCCCUGGACCUGUACUGACGCUCAUGCACGAAAGCGUGGGGAGCAAACAGG
rnacentral:rRNA from 1 species